UGAACGUUCCAUAGUCUCAGGAGAUGAAUAAAAUAUUACUCUAGCUUUGUAGUAUCACCUUGGAAUUAAAUUGGUAUUAUACUGAGCAGCUGAUGGGAUGGGGAGAGCACCCUUCCAUUCUAAAUAGGAUUGUGAUGCUCUGGAUAGAAAUGCGUGCAUUUUCAUCUUUCUGUGAUAAAAAGUGGCUUUUAAUGUUUUGUAUUAUAGUAUGUUGGCAGUUUCAUUCCAUGAUUAUUCAUUCACUCACAUGUAUUUUUAUUUUUAGCUCUAAGCGAAAGACAUGAGGCCUAAGACUGACAAUGAGGUUGUUUUGAGGCCAUCUGAUUUCUGACUAGAAGGUGUGUGCGAUCGCCUCGUCCUGAAACCACUUCAAACAGAAUGGUUUGCAAUUUUUUUUGGUGAUGGCAUAUUCAGAAUCUUGGAUCCCUAAGUUGAAUAUGUUGGAAAUGUUUUAGGAACUCUGGAUAUUAUUGUUUUUGUAUAUAUAAUGACUUAGUAGGCGAAUUAGUAGGUUUAAUAAAAAGUAUAUAAAAGAA